rnacentral:rRNA from 1 species
AGCGAACGCUGGCGGCAGGCCUAACACAUGCAAGUCGAACGGGCGUAGCAAUACGUCAGUGGCAGACGGGAGAGUAACACGUGGGAACGUGCCCUUUGGUUCGGAACAACCCAGGGAAACUUGGGCUAAUACCGGAUAAGCCCUCACGGGGAAAGAUUCAUCGCCAAGGGAUCGGCCCGCGUCUGAUUAGCUAGUUGGUGGGGUAAUGGCCCACCAAGGCGACGAUCAGUAGCUGGUCUGAGAGGAUGAUCAGCCUCACUGGGACUGAGACACGGCCCAGACUCCUACGGGAGGCAGCAGUGGGGAAUAUUGGACAAUGGGCGCAAGCCUGAUCCAGCCAUGCCGCGUGGGUGAUGAAGGCCCUAGGGUUGUAAAGCCCUUUCGGCGGGGAAGAUAAUGACGGUACCCGCAGAAGAAGCCCCGGCUAACUUCGUGCCAGCCGCCGCGGUAAAA